AUUGUAGCAAUACAAGGCAGACGGCUCAGUAACACGUAUGCCAACCUACCCUAUGGACGGGGAUAACCUCGGGAAACUGAGGAUAAACCCCGAUAGAUCAUUAUACCUGGAACGGUUUAUGGUCCAAAUGAUUCGUCGCCGUAGGAUGGGACUGCGGCCUAUCAGCUUGUUGGUGAGGUAAUGGCCCACCAAGGCUAUUACAGGUACGGGCUCUGAGAGGAGAAGCCCGGAGAUGGGUACUGAGACACGGACCCAGGCCCUAUGGGGCGCAGCAGGCGAAAAAACUUUGCAAUGUGCGCAAGCACGACAAGGUUAAUCCGAGUGUUUCCUGCUAAAGGAAUCUUUUGCUAGUCCUAAAAACACUAGCGAAUAAGGGGUGGGCAAGUUCUGGUGUCAGCCGCCGCGGUAAAACCAGCACCUCAAGUGGUCAGGAGGAUUAUUGGGCCUAAAGCAUCCGUAGCCUGCUCUGUAAGUUUCCGGUUAAAUCCAUUAGCUUAACUGAUGGGCCGCCGGAAAAACUGCAAAGCUAGGGAGUGGGAGAGGUANACGGUACUC
rnacentral:rRNA from 1 species